UUUGCAUUAAAAAUUGCGAUUCAUAUCAAUAAACUACAUAAAAAUCCCUAAGACUGAAUUGUCAAGGACAGAACGCCACGAGAUUCAAAGUAACAGAGUUUAUUAGGUUACAGAACUCAAAACAAGCCCGUAAAACACAAGGGCCAGGCAGUAUUUGCCUCUAGGAGCAAAAAAGGGGCAAAAUAAAUGUUCAAAAGAUAAACCGGAUUAAACCGGAGUUUAAUCCGGGUAAAAAACAAACUGCUUGCUUCAGCCUGAAUAUAAACAAAACAAGAGCCAAGAACAAAAGAUACAAAGAAUGCAGCUAAUUGGCAGCAGAUUCCUCUCUGCUGCCAACACAGUGUUUACAGUAACUUGCGUCGCUCCCACACACACACAGCAGACAGGAUCUUCCAGCACGAACAAAUCAGCCAGGGAAUGCAACAGUAGAGUAGACCAGUUCCGUUCCGUAGUUCAAAGCCAGAAGCAGACGUUUGUAGUUUUCCCAAGUCCAAGAAGGGGGGGGAAGACAAGCCGUGGUCAGUUCAGUCCGAGUUCUCAAAGCAGGAGAUGGCGUCCGUCAAGAAGACGACGGAAGGUCAAGGUCACAGCACAGGAA
rnacentral:lncRNA from 11 species